rnacentral:rRNA from 1 species
CAGGCUUAACACAUGCAAGUCGAGGGGCAGCAUUUUAGUUUGCUUGCAAACUGAAGAUGGCGACCGGCGCACGGGUGAGUAGCACGUAUCCAACCUGCCGAUAACUCCGGAAUAGCCUUUCGAAAGAAAGAUUAAUACCGGAUGGCAUACGAAUAUCGCAUGAUAUUUUUAUUAAAGAAUUUCGGUUAUCGAUGGGGAUGCGUUCCAUUAGUUUGUUGGCGGGGUAACGGCCCACCAAGACUACGAUGGAUAGGGGUUCUGAGAGGAAGGUCCCCCACAUUGGAACUGAGACACGGUCCAAACUCCUACGGGAGGCAGCAGUGAGGAAUAUUGGUCAAUGGGCGCGAGCCUGAACCAGCCAAGUAGCGUGAAGGAUGAAGGCUCUAUGGGUCGUAAACUUCUUUUAUAUGGGAAUAAAGUUUUCCACGUGUGGAAUUUUGUAUGUACCAUAUGAAUAAGGAUCGGCUAACUCCGUGCCAGCAGCCGCGGUAAUACGGAGGAUCCGAGCGUUAUCCGGAUUUAUUGGGUUUAAAGGGAGCGUAGGUGGAUUGUUAAGUCAGUUGUGAAAGUUUGCGGCUCAACCGUAAAAUUGCAGUUGAAACUGGCAGUCUUGAGUACAGUAGAGGUGGGCGGAAUUCGUGGUGUAGCGGUGAAAUGCUUAGAUAUCACGAAGAACUCCGAUUGCGAAGGCAGCUCACUAGACUGUCACUGACACUGAUGCUCGAAAGUGUGGGUAUCAAACAGGAUUAGAUACCCUGGUAGUCCACACAGUAAACGAUGAAUACUCGCUGUUUGCGAUAUACAGUAAGCGGCCAAGCGAAAGCAUUAAGUAUUCCACCUGGGGAGUACGCCGGCAACGGUGAAACUCAAAGGAAUUGACGGGGGCCCGCACAAGCGGAGGAACAUGUGGUUUAAUUCGAUGAUACGCGAGGAACCUUACCCGGGCUUAAAUUGCAACAGAAUAUAUUGGAAACAGUAUAGCCGUAAGGCUGUUGUGAAGGUGCUGCAUGGUUGUCGUCAGCUCGUGCCGUGAGGUGUCGGCUUAAGUGCCAUAACGAGCGCAACCCUUAUCUUUAGUUACUAACAGGUCAUGCUGAGGACUCUAGAGAGACUGCCGUCGUAAGAUGUGAGGAAGGUGGGGAUGACGUCAAAUCAGCACGGCCCUUACGUCCGGGGCUACACACGUGUUACAAUGGGGGGUACAGAAGGCGGCUACCUGGUGACAGGAUGCUAAUCCCAAAAACCUCUCUCAGUUCGGAUCGAAGUCUGCAACCCGACUUCGUGAAGCUGGAUUCGCUAGUAAUCGCGCAUCAGCCAUGGCGCGGUGAAUACGUUCCCGGGCCUUGUACACACCGCCCGUCAAGCCAUGAAAGCCGGGGGUACCUGAAGUACGUAACCGCAAGGAGCGUCCUAGGGUAAAACUGGUAAUUGGGGCUAAG